CCCCAAAUCUUUCUCUCACUGCUUCACUUAUCUGUUGUUUCCUGUUUGACAAAUACUAACUACUCUUCUCCCUUAAGCCAAUUUCACUAAUUUUCAAUCACUGGUCUUUGUUUUUUGUACUCAAUCAUAUAUAUCUAAAUGUUUGUUUAGUUGUCUAAGAGAAUACUUCUUUGUUUGGAUUGUAAAAAGACAGAGUAAUAUGGCGGGGAAGAAGAUUAGAUGAUUCCUAAAGACAUCUCAAAGAGUAUUUGAAACGCCUUGCUGGAAUCGAUAUUUAGAUCUAUUCUGCUCAAGUACUUUCCUUUCUUUUACUAUUUCUACCUAAUUAUGUUAUUGAUCUGUUAUUGGUACACAUGAUGGGUUUUUCGAGGUUGGUGAACGAGGGAGAGGUGGUGGUCGAUGUUGUUAUUGUUGUAUCCUUUGUCGACGGAGCAACAAAAAAAUGGAAACAAAUGGCGGUUGUGGAUCUGUUGUAGUGGUGAUUUGUUCGGCUGAUACGAUGGAGGUUCGCCGGAGAAGAGAUGGCACGUUUUGGAGGUGGUGAAUAAAUUAUACUUUAUUAAAGUUGUAUUAAAUUUAUAUUGAAUAUAAAUAAUAGCUGUAGCACAAUUCGAAUUCAAUAUUAUACAUUGUUAUGAAUUCUAUAGUUGUUAUUUCGUAAUAAAUAUGAUACAAAGUAAAUUAUAAUAAA
rnacentral:lncRNA from 1 species